UACGUAGGGCGCAAGCGUUGCCCGGAAUUAUUGGGCGUAAAGAGCUCGUAGGCGGUUUGUCGCGUCUGUCGUGAAAGCUUGGGGCUUAACCCCAAGUCUGCGGUGGAUACGGGCAGACUAGAGGCAGGUAGGGGAGAACGGAAUUCCCGGUGUAGCGGUGAAAUGCGCAGAUAUCAGGAGGAACACCGGUGGCGAAGGCGGUUCUCUGGGCAUUACCUGACGCUGAGGAGCGAAAGUGUGGGGAGCGAACAGG
rnacentral:rRNA from 1 species